rnacentral:rRNA from 1 species
AUUGAACGCUGGCGGAAUGCUUUACACAUGCAAGUCGAACGGCAGCACGGGUGCUUGCACCUGGUGGCGAGUGGCGAACGGGUGAGUAAUGCACCGGAACGUAUCCAAUAAUGGGGGAUAACGCACCGAAAGGUGUGCUAAUACCGCAUACGCCCUGAGGGGGAAAGCGGGGGAUCGUAAGACCUCGCGUUAAUGGAGCGGCCGAUGCCGGAUUAGCUAGUUGGUGAGGUAAAGGCUCACCAAGGCGACGAUCCGUAGCGGGUCUGAGAGGAUGAUCCGCCACACUGGGACUGAGACACGGCCCAGACUCCUACGGGAGGCAGCAGUGGGGAAUUUUGGACAAUGGGCGCAAGCCUGAUCCAGCCAUGCCGCGUGAGUGAAGAAGGCCU